rnacentral:rRNA from 1 species
UAGGGAAUCUUCCACAAUGGACGCAAGUCUGAUGGAGCAACGCCGCGUGAGUGAAGAAGGUCUUCGGAUCGUAAAACUCUGUUGUUAGAGAAGAACACGAGUGAGAGUAACUGUUCAUUCGAUGACGGUAUCUAACCAGCAAGUCACGGCUAACUACGUGCCAGCAGCCGCGGUAAUACGUAGGUGGCAAGCGUUGUCCGGAUUUAUUGGGCGUAAAGGGAACGCAGGCGGUCUUUUAAGUCUGAUGUGAAAGCCUUCGGCUUAACCGGGGUAGUGCAUUGGAAACUGGAAGACUUGAGUGCAGAAGAGGAGAGUGGAACUCCAUGUGUAGCGGUGAAAUGCGUAGAUAUAUGGAAGAACACCAGUGGCGAAAGCGGCUCUCUGGUCUGUAACUGACGCUGAGGUUCGAAAGCGUGGGUAGCAAACAGGAUUAGAUACCCUGGUAGUCCACGCCGUAAACGAUGAAUGCUAGGUGUUGGAGGGUUUCCGCCCUUCAGUGCCGCAGCUAACGCAAUAAGCAUUCCGCCUGGGGAGUACGACCGCAAGGUUG